rnacentral:lncRNA from 1 species
CAACAUCGAAGAUAACUGUUCCAUUUAUUACCACAAAAAAAUGAUGCUCAUAAAGAUACAAUUUAAUAAAUAUCCGUCACUCGAUAGCAUUUAACGGAGAAUAUUCUACAAUACUUUAUACAUUGACCGUUACAAAAGAAUAUGACAUUCAUGACUGCCAUUACAUAUCCUUCAAUAGCAUUCUUAAUUGCCAUUGAAGAGGGGUUUGAUCCUAGGACUUUAUUUCCUAGGCGUAGCUAUAAAUAUUGAGCUCUAUUAUCAUUAUAAAAAGGACUUCUCUAGCAAACUUACGCUACAAUCGAUUCAAAAUUUUAUACAUUUUUAUCUUCUUAUUCCUUGAUUUCAUUGUUAUUGUGCCCGGAAGCUCAGACCUGAAACUACUAUUUCUCGAUUUUAUCUUCACUUCAAGGCUAAGUAUUGCGUGUUUCUUCAAUUACUUUAUUAUUUCGAGAUCGAAUAAUUUACCUGCCCAAAAAUCACGUAUAAUUUUAACUAUAUCGUUUUAUGAGUAAAUACUAUAUUUUUAGGAGAAGGUCUCUUCACUCCAUCCAAGCAUGACUAGUAAAACUAUUGGAACUUAAUAAAGAGCAUAUCUAACUUCUAAUAUCACUAUCUCGAAUAACCCUAAAUUAUUCUCAUUUCGUUCCAGACUUCUGGUAUGUGCGAACAUAUUUUUCUUUUUGUUCGAUUCAUAAUAAAUGAUUAUUUUUGUAUUUCAAUAAAAAUGGACAUUGCGCCUAACUCAACUCGAAAAGCUAGCUUGUGAGGUGAGAAUUGCCUAAUCCUUAUAAGGAGACUAAUGACCUCAAAUCCCUCAGAUGUGGGACAACUCAACACCCCACACGCCCAGGCCUCUGGAGCGUAGACAACAUAAAUGGGGGUCCAAUAUCGGUAACAAUAAUUGGGAUGGGCUUGGCUCUGAUACCAUGAUAAGAAUGGACAUUGAGUCUAACUCAACCACAAAAGCUAGCUUGUAAGAUUAGGAUUGUCCAAGCCAUAUAAGGAGAUCAAGGACGUCAAUCCCUUCGAUGUGGGACAACUCAACAUAUUUGAAAGUAAUUUAGCUUAUAUUUCUAAUUUUAUCCUCAGCGAGAAGCUUUUAUAGUCCCAUAAACUCUCUAGCAUAUAAUGCCAUAAAUUUUAAAAGAGUUAUAGCGACACACGUAUUAUGACUUGUUUAGUAUCAAAAGCUUAAAAAAUCUUCAUUUCUUUUUUAAAUUUCAUACUCAAUCAAAUAGGUUCACAUAAAUUAAAGCAUAAGAAAUUGUCAUUUUAAACCAGUUCGGUAGUAAUAAGACUUCCACAUAGUUAAAGAUCGUAAUGGGUGAAAGCUGACUACUUUGGAGGGGAUUUUAUACAUUUUUCCCAUUUUAUUUUCUUGCAUCGAUCAUAAAAUUCAUAAUCGGAGACACUCAUCACAAAAGAAAAUAUAUUUAAAGUAAAUAAAUCACUCACCUCUUUUUUUGCUAAUAAAUAAAUCAACACCACAAAUUAGUUAUAAGAAAAGGCAGAUUUAUUGAUAAAAAUAUGAAGCACGUAAAUUCAUGGUCUUUCCGUAAAAUUAAAUAUUUUAUAUACAUAUUUUUUUUAAAAUUAAUAUAUUAUUAACUGUUGGUGCAUAUACUCUAAGAUUAAAUCUACACUUAAUUGAAGGUUGGAUUAAUACUCUAAGAUUAAAUAGUACACCCAUGUACUAGAAACCUUAUAUCCGCCUCUGAUAUAAAUCCUACUAGCCCAUACACCUAAAACUCAAGUAGAAUUUUGAAAAUGGAAGGGAAAAGAGCCAAUUUUUCCCCUAGACUUAGGGCUGUACGAAGAAUCUCACACAUUGCACCAAACCGAUAGUUUGAGUUAAAUUGAAAAAAAAAAUCCACUAUAUUUUGGUGUUGGAAAAGAAAACUCGAUCAUAGUUGAUUUGGUUUGGUUCAACUAAAAAAAAUCAAAUCGAAACCAAAUCAACCCGACAUUAUAUUUAUACAAGUUUUCAAAAUAUUUUGUACAUAAAAAUAUUAAUUGCAAUGUAAUUUAUGAAUAUUUCUAAAGCAUUUUUAGAGUUCUCUAUUUAACGUAUUAUUUCAAGUUUGAACUUAAAAUUUUUGAAUGGUCCAAUAUGUUAUAUACUC